AGAAUCAACGCUGGCGGCGUGCCUAACACAUGCAAGUCGAACGCGAAAGUCCCGCAAGGGAUUAGUAGAGUGGCAAACGGGUGAGUAACACGUGGGUGACCUGCCUUCGAGUGGGGGAUAACGUCCCGAAAGGGACGCUAAUACCGCAUGACAUCCUGCUUUUUAAGAGGCGGAGAUCAAAGCUGGGGAUCGCAAGACCUGGCGCUUGAAGAGGGGCCCGCGCCUGAUUAGCUAGUUGGUGGGGUAACGGCUCACCAAGGCAUCGAUCAGUA
rnacentral:rRNA from 1 species